rnacentral:rRNA from 1 species
UGCCUAAUACAUGCAAGUCGAACGAGUAGCAAUACUAGUGGCGCACGGGUGAGGAAUACAUGGGUAACCUGCCUUCGAGUCGGGGAUAACCAGUCGAAAGACUGGCUAAUACCGGAUAAGACCACAGGAUCUGCGGAUCUAGGGGUUAAAGGUUUUUCGCUUGAAGAUGGGCCCAUGCGGGAUUAGCUAGUUGGUGAGGUAAUGGCUCACCAAGGCUACGAUCCCUAACUGGUCUUAGAGGAUGAUCAGUCACACUGGAACUGAGACACGGUCCAGACUCCUACGGGAGGCAGCAGUAGGGAAUAUUGCACCCUGGACGAAAGUCUGAUGCAGCGACGCCGCGUGAGUGAUUUUUCCUUCGGGUCGUAAAGCUC